GACGAACGCUGGCGGCGUGCCUAAUACAUGCAAGUCGAGCGAGCGGAACUAACAGAUUUACUUCGGUAAUGACGUUAGGAAAGCGAGCGGCGGAUGGGUGAGUAACACGUGGGGAACCUGCCCCAUAGUCUGGGAUACCACUUGGAAACAGGUGCUAAUACCGGAUAAGAAAGCAGAUCGCAUGAUCAGCUUUUAAAAGGCGGCGUAAGCUGUCGCUAUGGGAUGGCCCCGCGGUGCAUUAGCUAGUUGGUAAGGUAAAGGCUUACCAAGGCGAUGAUGCAUAGCCGAGUUAAGAGACUGAUCGGCCACAUUGGGACUGAGACACGGCCCAAACUCCUACGGGAGGCAGCAGUAGGGAAUCUUCCACAAUGGACGCAAGUCUGAUGGAGCAACGCCGCGUGAGUGAAGAAGGUGUUCGGAUCGUAAAGCUCUGUUGUUGGUGAAGAAGGAUAGAGGUAGUAACUGGCCUUUAUUUGACGGUAAUCAACCAGAAAGUCACGGCUAACUACGUG
rnacentral:rRNA from 1 species